CUAUCUGUGCUCAGAGCUCUCACUGCUCCCUCAGUCCCCCAUACCCUUCCAGUACCUUGGUGUCAUUGUACACUUUGCUUCCUCCACUCUGAGGUGCUUCUUUCUUAUCAUCAUCCAACACUUCCCUACCUACCCAUUAAAGUCCAGUUCAAAUCUCAAAGGCACCUAAUCUCAGAAAACAUGGUCACCAAAUAUGAACUCUUCUCUGUCCAGGCCCAUGAGUUCUGGACAACAGGACUCAGUUACUAAGUGAUGACACCACGAGUUUUGGGCGAAGGGAAUGGAUAAGUGGGACAAUCCUAAAGGGGAGGAUCAACUGAUGGAUGGAAGAGGAACUGAGAAACCUCAGAGGUCACAUGCUGGAUUUCAAAAAUGCCCAAAGCUCUCCCUCAAGCUAGCAAAUUACAUCCCAGGUGGAGCUCAUGAGUAUCAGCAUCUUGCCAAGGAGUGGGCUGAAGUUUAUGCCUGAGGUCCUUUGCCCAGCAAUGCAUAAUGGGAGUAUACUCCAGCAAUGCAUGAUGGGAGGUCUUGGAGCAUCUUGAAGUUCAAACAAACAGAAGGAAACAAAGCAAACUUCCAAAUGACUGCAAGACGGACGGUGGGUCAUUGUCAUCUGUGCAAGACCAUAAACUCUCCAGGGCUCUGACCACCAAAAUGUGGCUUUGAGAAUGAAGGGCAUCUAGCACCAGUGACUGCUCACUCUUCCUUGAAGCACAGUGGCACAUCAGAGUGGAAGUGUCCUCGUGGCCACC